rnacentral:rRNA from 1 species
CCUACGGGAGGCAGCAGUGAGGAAUAUUGGUCAAUGGACGAGAGUCUGAACCAGCCAAGUAGCGUGAAGGAUGACUGCCCUACGGGUUGUAAACCUCUUUUAUAAAGGAAUAAAGCGAGGCACGUGUGCCUUUUUGCAUGUACUUUAUGAAUAAGGAUCGGCUAACUCCGUGCCAGCAGCCGCGGUAAUACGGAGGGUCCGCGCGUUAUCCGAAUUUAUUGGGUUUAAAGGGAGCGUAGGUGGGUUGUGAAGUCAGGGGUGAAAGUUUGCGGCUCAACCGUAAGAUUGCAAUUGAUACUGGGAGUCUUGAGUACAGUUGAGGUAAGCGGAAUUCGUGGUGUAGCGGUGAAAUGCUUAGAUAUCACGAAGAACUCCGAUUGCGAAGGCAGCUUACUAAACUGUGACUGACAUUGAUGCUCGAAAGUGUGGGUAUCAAACAGGAUUAGAUACCCUGGUAGUC